UUGAUUGAUGAUUAAUAUUGCUUUUCCUCAGUUAUAAGUGAUGUGUGUUAGGAUAAUAGAAAGCCUUGGCUGAUCUUGUUGCAUACAUGAGCUAGAAACUGAUUAAGGUCACAGCAUAUUGUCAUCUUGUUGCUGCCUUAACAUUGAGCACAUAGAUGGAUGUCUAUGAUUGCGGAUUAAGGCAGGGGUGAUUGCCUAAGUAGCUUGUCUUGAAUCUGAUUUGAUCUUGCUUGUACUUAGAGAGAUUGCUUGCAAAGAUGUGAACUUGAUAAUGCUUGUUUCAAUCUGUUGCAUAGCUUGUGACAUUGGAGAUCAAACUUGAUGAUUAGUCAAGGAUUGAUCCCAAUGCUUGUGUCUUAUCUUUGCUCGAGUUUGAGUGAUGUUUCAGGUUCACAUGAUGUGCUAUUUGUCCAUAAUCAAUCUGAGUAGAAGAGGAAGACUUUACCCAAUGGGAAUGGUCGCUGGGGUGUAUGUGGAUACACAAGGCGAGUGGUCAUCACCUAAGUCUGGAGGAGACCGGUGACCAGAAGGCAUUGGAGAUAAAGGGAAGGGUUGAUCAAUGGUUGAAGCACACUCUAUGAGAUGUUGCGCUCCUGAUCUUAAGGCUCAUUGAGGCUAACUUCAAGCUUGGACCCAUACUCAAUCCAAGCUUGACGAGGGGAGCAAAGUGAGACACCUGAUAAUCCUGUUGCUCAAAUGACCUGUGUUACUCAAGGCCAUUGCAAGCUGAUCAUGGAGUGAUCCAGCCGAAGUGGAGGGAAGAAGAAAGUCACUCAACAAGCUAGUGUGAGGUGCUUGGAGAGUGGGCUGAGGUAUCUCCUCAGUGCAAUGGUGAUGUAGUGGAGGAUUCAAGCAUCAAGUCUGGAAGAGAUGGAGGUGCUCUCCACAAGGCUUAUCUUGGAGCUAUCAUGCGCUCACCAUCACGCUUGGACCUUCUCUAUACUCGGUCUCAAGCUUGAGGAGGAGUGUGGAUGAGCUUGCAUGAUAAGAGAAGGAGCUGUUAAGCUCAACAAGUGAGGGAUUCAAGUGGCGUGUGAAGAGCAGCCACUCCUCACCAUUUAUACAAGGGAGUAAACCUGAUCUUUAUCUCUUUAUAUACAUUCAUGAUAGGUUUAUCUCUUGAGAACUGAUACACUUGUGGAAUGAUGUAUCAGGUACCUUACUUGGAUUCUCAAUGAAGAGGGGGUGAUCUUACCUGAUGGAGAUGGCGAGAAACCAUGAGAGAAGGGAAGACACAAACCGAGUUCAAGAAGAAGUCCAAGAAGAGUGCUGAAGUGAAGAGGCCGUGAUCCAGAGCCUAUGUACCUAAACCGUUUGUGUCAAUCAAGCAAUCAUUAAGAACAAAUCAUUCAACUUUCUAAACUCCCCUAACAUCAAAUGACUUUGGUAGGGUAAGCUAAGAGCAUGUUGCGUUGGCUCAGACAUUUCAUCGAACACCUUCCGAAAAAUGAAAUGUCUAGAUUUCUAAUCUAAAAUGGCCAACUCUAGAUUAGCAUUAAGAUCACUCAAUCAAGCAAGGAAACAUAUUAAUCUACUCUAAACAUUCUAGAUCAUCACUUAAUCAUCCUAAUCAUCCUAACCCAUGAAUCCAAACAUAGUCCGAUUAAGAGAAAUCAUGUUAAGAAGAUGAGAUAGACUCAAAUUACUCAAGGAAGAAAGAUUAUAUUACUAAAGAUUCAAACUUUCUCCAAAAUAUCAAUGUAUUUUUAAGAGAAAACAAGAUAUGGUCCAUGUUUUUGGACUAAAACUAUUUAUAAUAGCUUAAAACUCGAAUCGGGUCAACCCAACAAACUCGGGUUUACCUAAACCUCGGUGAUACUAAGACACAUAGGCUCACUGGCCAAUCCCCAGACCUUGUUGGCUCUACUCUUUUUCCCUCAUCAAAGUUUUGUCCCAAAGGGUUUUCCUUAGUGAGGUUUUUAAUGAGGGAGUUAUUCAAGGUUCUAAGCUUGACUUAGGAUCGCCUAGAGUCAAGCUUGAGGAGGAGUGUUGACUUGAAGAAAGAAAUGGAGCCAAAAGAGGAGUUGGUUGAGUUUGGGUCUUGAUGAAGGAUAGGGCAAGAUCUUCAAAGAUUGCCUGUCAAGGCUUCAGGAGUGUUUAAAGAAGUCUAGAAGUGUCCUGAAGUCAGUGCAAAGAUAGGGUCAAGUCCAGGAGGGACUUAGACACCAUUUGGAGUAGUUUGGGCGAUGGUGCAAAGUUAGGGCGAGCGGUACGGACUGGUACGGAUCUGUACGGACCUGUACGGAUCCGUACGGACCGAGGUCGACCAAGAAAUGUUCAGACUCAACAAUUUGAGGAGAUUGGGAGUUGGUGCAAAAAUAGGGCGAGGUACGGACAGGCGGUCCGUACCAUCGACCUUACUUGUUCCGGAUCAACCUGAAAUGAAGCUGUGCAAACUUAGGGCGCAAGAGAAGACAAACCUGAGUUAUCUUGUGAUUGUUUGUGGAUAAGGGAGAGCUAGGGCGUGGUCAAUGACAGGCUGUCUUUGAGCUGUAAAGGAAAAGCAGCCUUGACCAUGUAUCUAGCCAUCUUUGUGAACAAGGUUCAUGGGAGCCUUAAGGGAACCAAUCAGGAGCCAGCCCUUGCCUUGACCAGUUUGAAUCAACCAAUCAGCAUCCA
rnacentral:lncRNA from 1 species